AGUAAGGUCAGCUAAACAAGCUCUUGGGCCCAUACCCCAAAAAUGUCGGUUAUAAACCCACCCUUACUA
rnacentral:tRNA from 1 species